rnacentral:snRNA from 1 species
AUCAAUUGCGCAGUGGCAAUAUCGUAUCCAAUGAAGGUCUCCUGAGGUGCGAUUAUUGCUUGUUGAAAGAAAUUUAAUAGUAAAUAGUUUGAGGUUAGAAAAGCAAUUGUUAAAAAGAUAUUCAAUU